rnacentral:lncRNA from 1 species
UCUGCUAUCAUUUCACUUCGUUUUCUCUCUUCAAUGAACAAGUUAUCUUUAACCAUGGAUAGCGAUAAAACACAAUUUGAAGCAUAAUUACAGAGUUUCAUAACCAUAGUCUUUCAACUAUCUUGUAAAGUUCCAGUGGUAACAGUGCUUGUAGCUCAUCAUCGAUCUAGCACUAUUUUCAUGAUUUUCGCUUGAUUAAACGAAUCGUAAA